AACACUGCCAUGACGACAAGUCAUAGAGGGAAGGACUCUCUCUAUUCAGUAUGGUUCUAGAAAGGUUAGAGGGACGUCUACAGGAACUAGAUGCUGACAGACCACGUCUGAAAAGGCAAGCACAGAGCAGAGAAUAAACUCGGAGAGGAGGGACAGGUUUCGACCGAGCUCUUUCGAACAGCAAGGGCACAUUACUUUAACGUCCAAAAUCAGUGUCACGAACAGACAACCAAGUGCUUUGAUGUGCAAAACUACUCUUGAGCCUUAAAGGAGGAGUUUGACGAAGAUGGUUGUGACUCCUGAAGCCCAAAAUAUAGAUCAUGCAGCUCAUACUUUGAAUUGCUCUGAUGAGAUACACCUGCUUUAGUGAUACAGACGUGACUCAGUCUGUGGCUCUUGAAUAAAGUAAGACCAGUGCACAGGAAGGCUCUCCUCAUUCUGCAUCUUACUCACCGCAAGGAACUUCGUAGCUCUCACCUCCCCACAGGAUAGCUACUAUUCCUCAGUGAAAGCACCGUCCUGACAAAGAACAACAAAACCAGAUUACAAUGGAAAUAUCCUGAGGAAUACCUACAAACAUUUCCGACCCGAGGAAUAGGAGACACACUCUUGAUUUUCAGAUGCAAUUUUCUCCAAAGUAUUUCCCACAAGGAUACAAUGUAUCCAUUAUCAAGGACCCCUACUGGAGAAGCGUAACUGGUAAAAUGUUGCCUAUACCAAGGCAGAUCAUGAUUCAGCAAAGUUGAACACUGGUAUUGUGGUAAGCUCUCCACGCUAUACUUGGGUAUGGAAUUACAUAAUAAAAUAUAUAGACAAUA
ensembl:lncRNA